rnacentral:rRNA from 1 species
AGAGUUUGAUUCUGGCUCAGGAUGAACGCUGGCGGCGUGCUUAACACAUGCAAGUCGAACGGACUUUAGAAUGAAGCUUGCGAUUCUAAAGUUAGUGGCGGACGGGUGAGUAACGCGUGGGUAACCUGCCUUAUACCGGGGGAUAACACUUAGAAAUAGGUGCUAAUACCGCAUAAGCGCACAGCUUCGCAUGAAGCAGUGUGAAAAACUCCGGUGGUAUAAGAUGGACCCGCGUCUGAUUAGCUGGUUGGUGAGGUAACGGCCCACCAAGGCGACGAUCAGUAGCCGGCCUGAGAGGGUGAACGGCCACAUUGGGACUGAGACACGGCCCAAACUCCUACGGGAGGCAGCAGUGGGGAACAUUGGACAAUGGGGGAAACCCUGAUCCAAGCGACGCCGCGUGAGUGAAGAAGUAUUUCGGUAUGUAAAGCUCUAUCAGCAGGGAAGAUAAUGACGGUACCUGACUAAGAAGCCCCGGCUAACUACGUGCCAGCCGCCGC